CCUACGGGAGGCAACAGUAGGGAAUAUUGCUCAAUGGGGGAAACCCUGAAGCAGCAAAGCCGCGUGGAGGAUGAAGGUUCUCGGAUUGUAAAACCCUUUUGUUAGAGAAGCUAAUGACGGUCUCUAACGACUAAGCACCGGCUAACUUCGUGCCAGUAGCCCCGGUAAUAAGGAGGGUGCAAGGGUUACUCGGAAUCACUGGGCGUAAAGAGCGCGUAAGGGGGAUAGCAAGUCCGAUGGGAAAUCCUAUGGCUUAAACAUAAUACUGCAGUUGAAACUGGUAUUCUAGAGUAUGGGAGAGGUAGGUGGAAUGCUUGGUGUAGGGGUAAAAUGCAUAGAGAUCAAGAAGAACACUGAUUGCGAAGGCGGCCUACCAGAGCAUAACUGACGCUGAUGCACGAAAGCGUGGGGAGCGAACAGGAUUAGAUACCCGUGUAGUC
rnacentral:rRNA from 1 species